AUUGAACGCUGGCGGCAGGCCUAACACAUGCAAGUCGAACGAGUGGCGGACGGGUGAGUAAUGUCUGGGAACCUGCCUGAUGGAGGGGGAUAACUACUAGAAACGGUAGCUAAUACCGCAUACCAUCGGAUGUGCCCAGAUGGGAUUAGCUAGUAGGUGGGGUAAAGGCUCACCUAGGCGACGCUCCCUAGCUGGUCUGAGAGGAUGACCAGCCACACUGGAACUUAGACACGGUCCAGACUCCUACGGGAGGCAGCAGUGGGGAAGAUUGCACAAUGGGCGAAAGCCUGAUGCAGCCAUGCCGCGUGUAUGAAGAAGGCCUUCGGGUUGUAAAGUACUUUCGGCGGGGAGGCGUUACCUGCAGAAGAAGCACCGGCUAACUCCGUGCCAGCAGCCGCGGUAAUAC
rnacentral:rRNA from 1 species